UACGUAGGGUGCAAGCGUUGUCCGGAAUUAUUGGGCGUAAAGAGCUCGUAGGCGGUCUGUCGCGUCUGCUGUGAAAACUCGGGGCUUAACCCCGGGCCCGCAGUGGGUACGGGCAGACUAGAGUGCGGUAGGGGAGACUGGAAUUCCUGGUGUAGCGGUGAAAUGCGCAGAUAUCAGGAGGAACACCGGUGGCGAAGGCGGGUCUCUGGGCCGUAACUGACGCUGAGGAGCGAAAGCAUGGGGAGCGAACAGG
rnacentral:rRNA from 1 species